GAUGAAGAACGUAGCGAAAUGCGAUAAGUAAUGUGAAUUGCAGAAUUCAGUGAAUCAUCGAAUCUUUGAACGCACAUUGCGCCCGCCAGUAUUCUGGCGGGCAUGCCUGUUCGAGCGUCAUUACAACCCUCAGGCCCCCGGGCCUGGCGUUGGGGAUCGGCGGAGCCCCCCGUGGGCACACGCCGUCCCCCAAAUACAGUGGCGGUCCCGCCGCAGCUUCCAUCGUGUAGUAGCUAACACCUCGCGACUGGAGAGCGACGCGGCCACGCCGUAAAACACCCAACUCUUCUGAAGUUGACCUCGAAUCAGGUAGGAAUACCCGCUGAACUUAAGCAUAUCAAUAAGCGGAGGA
rnacentral:misc_RNA from 1 species